GCCUCCGUAGCUCAAUGGAUAGAGCAACUGCCUUCUAAGCAGUAGGUUGUGGGUUCGAAACCCGCCGGAGGCGCCA
rnacentral:tRNA from 1 species